GAAGAAAGACAUGAUGGUUAUGGGGCUGACUUGAAAUCAGUUAUAGGGGNUUCGAUUCCUUCCUUUCUUG
rnacentral:tRNA from 1 species